rnacentral:rRNA from 1 species
GUCCUCUUGCUUAUAUAUGAGGUCUGACCUGCCCGGUGAAAUUUAUUUUAACGGCCGCAGUAUUUUGACUGUGCAAAGGUAGCAUAAUCAUUAGUCUUUUAAUAGGGGGCUGGUAUGAAGGGUUUGACGAGGUGUUAGCUGUCUCAUUUAAUUUGUAGUUAGAAUUUAACUUUUCAGUUAAAAGGCUGAAAUAUUAUUGGAAGACGAGAAGACCCUAUAGAGCUUUAUAAUUAAUGUCUUAAUUGUUUUUUGUUUAUUAUUUACCAUUAUUGCUUUAAUUAUUUUGUUGGGGUGACAAAAAUAUAUAGUUAACUUUUUUAUUUAUAUAACAUUGAUUAAUGAAUAUUAGAUCCAUUAUUAUUGAUUGUUAGAUUAAGUUACC